rnacentral:rRNA from 1 species
UGAGGGAUAUUGCACAAUGGGCGCAAGCCUGAUGCAGCGACGCCGCGUGGGUGAAGAAGGCUUUCGGGUCGUAAAAUCCUUUUGCGCGUGACGAGAUAGGACGGUAGCGCGCGAAUAAGUCUCGGCUAACUACGUGCCAGCAGCCGCGGUAAAACGUAGGAGACGAACGUUAUCCAGAGUUACUGGGCGUAAAGGGCGUGCAGGCGGUUGGAUAAGUUCGGCGUGAAAUUUUCCGGCUUAACCGGGGGAUGUCGUCGGAGACUGUCUGACUAGAGGGUGAUAGAGGCGUGUGGAAUUCCGGGUGUAGUGGUGAAAUGCGUAGAGAUCCGGAGGAACACCAGUGGCGAAGGCGACACGCUGGGUCACACCUGACGCUAAGGCGCGACAGCAUGGGGAGCAAACGGGAUUAGAAACCCCGGUAGUCCAUGCCGUAAACGAUGCCAACUCGGUGUUUGAUCCGGGAAACCGAUUGGGUACCCAAGCAAACGCGAUAAGUUGGCCGCCUGGGGAUACGGUCG